ACGGAAGGCAGCAGUGAGGAAUAUUGGUCAAUGGGCGGAAGCCUGAACCAGCCAAGUCGCGUGAAGGAUGAAGGUAUUAUGUAUUGUAAACUUCUUUAGCUGUGGAGCAAUAAUCUCCAUGUAUGGAGAGAUGAGGGUACACAGAGAAUAAGGAUCGGCUAACUCCGUGCCAGCAGCCGCGGUAAUACGGAGGAUCCGAGCGUUAUCCGGAUUUAUUGGGUUUAAAGGGUGCGCAGGCGGCUUUCUAAGUCAGUGGUCAAAUCGUGGUGCUCAACGCCAUCCCGCCAUUGAUACUGGAGAGCUUGAUUGCGGUCGAGGUUUGCGGAAUUCGUCGUGUAGCGGUGAAAUGCAUAGAUAUGACGAAGAACACCGAUUGCGUAGGCAGCAGACCAGGCCGUAAAUGACGCUCAUGCACGAAAGUGCGGGGAUCGAACAGGAUUAGAUACCCUGGUA
rnacentral:rRNA from 1 species